CCUACGGGGUGCAGCAGUGGGGAAUAUUGCACAAUGGAGGGAACUCUGAUGCAGCGACGCCGCGUGAGUGAAGAAGUAAUUCGUUAUGUAAAGCUCUAUCAGCAGGGAAGAAAGUGACGGUACCUGAAAAAGAAGCUCCGGCUAAAGACGUGCCAGCAGCCGCGGUAAUACGUAUGGAGCAAGCGUUAUCCGGAUUUACUGGGUGUAAAGGGAGAGUAGGUGGCAGAGCAAGUCCGAAGUUAAAACCCAAAGCUAAACUAUGGGAAUGCUUUAGAAACGGCUCCGCUAGAGUGCAGGAGUGCCAAUUGGAAUUCUUAGUGUAGCGGUGAAAUGCGUCGAUAUUAGGAGGCACCCCAGUGG
rnacentral:rRNA from 1 species